rnacentral:rRNA from 1 species
GACGAACGCUGGCGGCGUGCCUAAUACAUGCAAGUAGAACGCUGAAGCUUGGUGCUUGCACCGAGCGGAUGAGUUGCGAACGGGUGAGUAACGCGUAGGUAACCUGCCUGGUAGCGGGGGAUAACUAUUGGAAACGAUAGCUAAUACCGCAUGAUAUUGAUUAUUGCAUGAUAGUCAAUUAAAAGGUGCAAUUGCAUCACUACCAGAUGGACCUGCGUUGUAUUAGCUAGUUGGUGAGGUAACGGCUCACCAAGGCAACGAUACAUAGCCGACCUGAGAGGGUGAUCGGCCACACUGGGACUGAGACACGGCCCAGACUCCUACGGGAGGCAGCAGUAGGGAAUCUUCGGCAAUGGACGGAAGUCUGACCGAGCAACGCCGCGUGAGUGAAGAAGGUUUUCGGAUCGUAAAGCUCUGUUGUAAGAGAAGAACGAGUGUGAGAGUGGAAAGUUCACACUGUGACGGUAUCUUACCAGAAAGGGGCGGCUAACUACGUGCCAGCAGCCGCGGUAAUACGUAGGUCCCGAGCGUUGUCCGGAUUUAUUGGGCGUAAAGCGAGCGCAGGCGGUUAGAUAAGUCUGAAGUUAAAGGCUGUGGCUUAACCAUAGUACGCUUUGGAAACUGUUUAACUUGAGUGCAAGAGGGGAGAGUGGAAUUCCAUGUGUAGCGGUGAAAUGCGUAGAUAUAUGGAGGAACACCGGUGGCGAAAGCGGCUCUCUGGCUUGUAACUGACGCUGAGGCUCGAAAGCGUGGGGAGCAAACAGG